UACGGGGGGGGCAAGCGUUGUUCGGAAUUAUUGGGCGUAAAGGGCUCGUAGGCGGCCAACUAAGUCGGAUGUGAAAUCCCCAGGCUUAACCUGGGAACUGCAUCCGAUACUGGAUGGCUUGAAUUCGGGAGAGGGAUGCAGAAUUCCAGGUGUAGCGGUGAAAUGCGUAGAUAUCUGGAGGAAUACCGGUGGCGAAGGCGGCAUCCUGGACCGACAUUGACGCUGAAAGGCGAAAGCUAGGGGAGCAAACGGG
rnacentral:rRNA from 1 species